AUUGAACGCUGGCGGCAUGCCUUACACAUGCAAGUCGAGCGGAUGAAGGGAGCUUGCUCCUUGAUUCAGCGGCGGACGGGUGAGUAAUGCCUAGGAAUCUGCCUGGUAGUGGGGGAUAACGUUCCGAAAGGAACGCUAAUACCGCAUACGUCCUACGGGAGAAAGCAGGGGACCUUCGGGCCUUGCGCUAUCAGAUGAGCCUAGGUCGGAUUAGCUAGUUGGUGAGGUAAUGGCUCACCAAGGCGACGAUCCGUAACUGGUCUGAGAGGAUGAUCAGUCACACUGGAACUGAGACACGGUCCAGACUCCUACGGGAGGCAGCAGUGGGGAAUAUUGGACAAUGGGCGAAAGCCUGAUCCAGCCAUGCCGCGUGUGUGAAGAAGGUCUUCGGAUUGUAAAGCACUUUAAGUUGGGAGGAAGGGCAGUAAGUUAAUACCUUGCUGUUUUGACGUUACCAACAGAAUAAGCACCGGCUAACUUCGUGCCAGCCGCCGCGGUAACAC
rnacentral:rRNA from 1 species